rnacentral:rRNA from 1 species
GGCGGACGGGUGAGUAACACGUAGGUGAUCUGCCUUUGGGUUGGGGAUAGCCCAUGGAAACAUGGGGUAAUACCGAAUAUCCUCUACAUACUAUGGUUAGUAGAGAAAAGGGGCUUCGGCCUCGCCUGGAGAUGAGCCUGCGUUAGAUUAGCUAGUUGGUGGGGUAAAGGCCUACCAAGGCGACGAUCUAUAGCCGGCCUGAGAGGGUGAUCGGCCACACUGGGACUGAGAUACGGCCCAGACUCCUACGGGAGGCAGCAGCUAAGAAUCUUCCGCAAUGGACGAAAGUCUGACGGAGCGACGCCGCGUGGGUGAAGAAGGCCUGACGGUUGUAAAGCCCUUUUAUAGAUGAGGAAUAAGUAUCGGAGGCAAUGCCGGUGCGAUGACGUUAAUCUAUGAAUAAGCCCCGGCUAAUUACGUGCCAGCAGCCGCGGUAACACGUAUGGGGCGAGCGUUGUUCGGAAUUAUUGGGCGUAAAGGGCAC